rnacentral:lncRNA from 12 species
CAUCUUGAAGAUUCUCUUGCCAGUGAUGUGAUGGAUACAGUGGACGGGGAGGAGCUGGAUGUAUAUUUUCAUGGUGUAAGGUUGAUGGUUUUUCUUGGCUGAACCCCACUACGUUAAUGGUGGAGAUGCAUUUCUUGGCUUUACAACUGACGCUGUCUCUCUCAUGUAUGUAGAGGUGCCUGAGAAGGCAGGAGAGCUUCCGGUCUC